UAAAAGAGAGUUAUUCAGCUCCAAGGAAAAAGAAAGAAAAGUCAGCUAUGAGAUAGAGGAAGAAUAGAAUUCCGCACAAGGAAGAAGAAAAAGAAAAGAAAGCAAAGGGUUUUCGGCUUUUAAAGAAAAAAGUUUCUGGUAACAAGGUGAAGGAAAUUAGGCAUUAGCUUCAUACCCUAGCAUUCGACACCUAUUUAUAAGCCUUAUAGCCGAAUUUUCCAAUGCCCAAUUCCCCAUUCGGCUUCAUCCCUUCUCCCUUCUCAUAUCCUCGUUUUUCUCCCUGAUAACCCCUUGAUCCUUUCCUUAAU
rnacentral:lncRNA from 1 species